AACGCAAAUUGCGCUCUUGGGUAGCCCUAGGAGCACGCCUCUCUCAGUAUCGGUUCAACAAUCUCUCAGCAGCGUGUUUGUGAAAUUUAUUUUACAAGUGCGUGUUGGCUGGAUAAUGAGAGUCUGAGCACAAUAAUUUUUUAUUAAUUAUAUAGCUCAGUCUCUUGAAAUACAUGGAGUAAACAUGACUAGCGAUCAGUUCUAUUGCUCUUUUUAUUAAGGACAGUGGAUAGUCAGCUUCUGAGCUGUCGUUCGAUUAGUGACGUGAAUAUUGGCCUUCAUUGGUCUCUAACCUUUUUACGUUUAUCUAAUUUCGUCUGACAAUUAAAAGUUUAGAUUUUGGCGAACGUUCGAUUUUAGUGUGUGAUUUUAUGUGAGAAAACCAUAUGAUGACUUAUUAAUUAAUUUUCAUUAAUUAAUUGUAAGGAGUCUGAAUUUUGAUCUGAGAUGAAGCGAGACAACCCCCUGAAUUUAA
rnacentral:misc_RNA from 1 species